rnacentral:rRNA from 1 species
UACGGGGGGUGCGAGCGUUGUCCAGAAUCAUUGGGCGUAAAGCGUUCGUAGACGGCAUAUCGAGUCUGGUGUUAAAGGCAGAUGCUCAACAUUUGUAGGGCACUGGAUACUGGUAAGCUAGAAUGCGGUAGAGGUUAAGGGAAUUCCUGGUGUAGCGGUGAAAUGCGUAGAUAUCAGGAGGAACAUCGGUGGCGUAAGCGCUUAACUGGGCCGUAAUUGACGCUGAGGAACGAAAGCCAGGGUAGCAAAC